GAACAGAUUACAAGAGCAAGGUUCUAUUUCAACCUGGCAGAGGAGGGAGCUUCUCAGCUUGACAAGGCUAGCCGUUGGCCGGUAUGGUCAUCACUAUUGAUUUAUCGUAACAUCUUGGAUGCGAUCGAGGAUAACGAUUACGAUAACUUGACAAAGAGAGCAUAUGUAAGGAGAGCUAAGAAACUUCUCAUGUUGCCUCUGGCAUACUCAAGAUCUCUGUCAACACGUAGCUAGCUCUCUCAGCAGCACAAGAACGUAACAAGUACAAAAUCGUUUUGAUAAAGAAAUAUGUUUUGCGUGUAACAGAGCUCUGUGUAAAUUCUGUACAUGUUUACUGUUUAAAGAUGUUAACACAUUCCUUAUUAAUGUUAGCACAUCUAUCUCA